rnacentral:rRNA from 1 species
UACGGGAGGCAGCAGUGGGGAAUAUUGCACAAUGGGCGAAAGCCUGAUGCAGCUAUGCCGCGUGUAUGAAGAAGGCCUUAGGGUUGUAAAGUACUUUCAUCGGGGAGGAAAAAACAAAACUAAUAAUUUUAUUUCUUGACGUUACCCGAAAAAGAAGCACCGGCUAACUCCGUGCCAGCAGCCGCGGUAAUACGGAGGGUGCUAGCGUUAAUCAGAAUUACUGGGCGUAAAGAGCACGUAGGUGGUUUUUUUAAGUCAGAUGUGAAAUCCCUGGGCUUAACCUAGGAACUGCAUUUUGAAACUGAAAUACUAGAGUAUCGUAGAGGGAGGUAGAAUUCUAGGUGUAGCGGUGAAAUGCGUAGAUAUCUGGAGGAAUACCUGUGGCGAAAGCGGCCUCCUAAACGAAUACUGACACUGAGGUGCGAAAGCGUUGGGGAGCAAACGAGGAUUUAGGACUACC